UACGGAGGGUGCGAGCGUUAAUCGGAAUUACUGGGCGUAAAGGGCGCGUAGGCGGCCGAUCAAGUCAGAUGUGAAAGCCCACGGCUUAACCGUGUGAAGUGCAUCUGAAACUGGUCGGCUUGAGUAUCGGAGAGGAAAGUGGAAUUCCCGGUGUAGCGGUGAAAUGCGCAGAUAUUGGGAGGAACACCAGUGGCGAAGGCGGCACUCUGGGCCACGACUGACGCUGAGGCGCGAAAGCUAGGGGAGCGAACAGGAUUAGAACUACGU
rnacentral:rRNA from 1 species